CUUCCUGACCCAGGGAUUGAACCUUGUGUCUCCUGAGGCUCCUACACUGCAGGCAGGUUCUAUACCGCUGAGCCACCAGGGA
rnacentral:tRNA from 1 species